AGUGAACGCUGGCGGUAGGCCUAACACAUGCCAGUCGAACGGCAGCACAGUAAGAGCUUGCUCUUACGGGUGGCGAGUGGCGGAUGGGUGAGGAAUACAUCGGCAUCUACUUUUUCGUGGGGGAUAACGUAGGGAAACUUACGCUAAUACCGCAUACGAUCUACGGGUGAAAGCAGGGGAUCUUCGGACCUUGCGCGAUUGAAUGAGCCGAUGUCGGAUUAGCUAGUUGGCGGGGUAAAGGCCCACCAAGGCGACGAUCCGUAGCUGGUCUGAGAGGAUGAUCAGCCACACUGGAACUGAGACACGGUCCAGACUCCUACGGGAGGCAGCAGUGGGGAAUAUUGGACAAUGGGCGCAAGCCUGAUCCAGCCAUACCGCGUGGGUGAAGAAGGCCUUCGGGUUGUAAAGCCCUUUUGUUGGGAAAGAAAAGCAGCAGGUUAAAACCCCGCUGUUCUGACGGUACCCAAAGAAUAAGCACCGGCUAACUACGUG
rnacentral:rRNA from 1 species